rnacentral:rRNA from 1 species
UCCCCAGACUCCUACGGGAGGCAGCAGUGGGGAAUAUUGGGCAAUGGGCGCAAGCCUGACCCAGCAACGCCGCGUGAAGGAAGAAGGCUUUCGGGUUGUAAACUUCUUUUAAGAGGGAAGAGCAGAAGACGGUACCUCUUGAAUAAGCCACGGCUAACUACGUGCCAGCAGCCGCGGUAAUACGUAGGGGGCGAGCGUUAUCCGGAUUCAUUGGGCGUAAAGCGCGCGUAGGCGGCCUGUUAGGUCGGGGGUCAAAUGCCGGGGCUCAACCCCGGUCCGCCCCCGAUACCGGCAGGCUUGAGUCUGGUAGGGGAAGGCGGAAUUCCUGGUGUAGCGGUGAAAUGCGUAGAUAUCAGGAGGAACACCGGCGGCGAAGGCGGCCUGCUGGACCGUGACUGACGUUGAGGCUCGAGAGCGUGGGGAGCAAACAGGAUUAGAUACCCUAGUA